CACGCGGUACCCAACAAGCAAACCUCUAAACACAAGUUAAGUGAAUAAAAUACGGGUACUCCUUACACCCUAUCUAGACCUCCAUGCUACAGUCUAACAGUUUACAGUUUACCAAACACACAACUAAAUAACCACACUCUAUCAGUUUACACAUUCUCAAUAACAACUCAAUAUUCAACAGUCACAAACUUCACAGAGAAACACUCACAAGAUCAACAAAACACAAGUUCAAGUUCAUCAAUAAUAAAAUGUGCAAUACCAUCAGAUGCGAUGUAAAGUAUAGUGAUGCAUGUCUUCCCUAACGAUACACACCCGCUAUCUUUCAGUCCGGGACCCAUGGGGGACAUACCUGUCCAUGCAUCUGUCGCGGCGCACGACACAACCCUCGAUAAUCGUAAUCAUCGCGGCGCGAUACGUCCCUCGAAAUAUAAUAUCCAUGGCGGCGCGCGAUACAAACCUCGAAAAUAGUACAUCAUCCUCUACCACAACUAUGUCUCAGAUACCAUGCAAUGACAUGCUCAAAUGAAAAGGAGGCGAUAACCAUUUGAUAACAAAGCACAAUUUACAACAAGAAAUACAACACCAACAAAUAAACAACAAGUCUCCAAAUCAUUCUCAACAUCACAGAAGGAAAUACACGAAUUUCGUACGCUUAACAAGAGUUUAGAAAUCCACUUGCCUUAGUCAAUCGAAUAAUUACUCUUGGACUUGAGCCUUCCCUUUCCGUUGAGCUUCCGAACCAAUGGAAUCUAUUCAAGUAUAUAUUUACAAUAAGUUUUCGGAACUAACAAUACUCGAACGUUUAUGUGUUUAAUAUUAACCUAAAAAUUCACCCAAAAUUUAUAAUCAAGUUCGUAAUUCUAGAUGCCAACUAACAUUUCAACUAUCAUAUUUUUCAAUUUCAUAAUUCGAAUGACACUCACAAAAUACCACUCAUCUAAUAAUUAAAUAUCUAUACUAAUAUAUCAAAACUUAAAUCAUAAUAUAAUAAUCAAAACUAUAAAAAUUACACCUGAAUAAAUUCGAACAAAAACGUUGCAGGAUUAUUAUUAUUUUUCUUGUCAACACCCCUUUAUUCCAAUCUUAUGAUUGGCUCAUCACUAUACAUUCAAAUCACAUUCAAUUCUGUUCAUACAUUUCCAGAACAAUGUACAGACUACUUUAACUACAUACAACCAUUCCCCUUAAAUUAUUUUUUUCAUUCCAUAUUUCCAUCAAACCUUAUUAUUUUAUCCAAUUGUUAACUUCAUUGACUUCUUUGAUUCAAGACACUACCUUAUUUCCUCCAAAAUUUGAUGACAAACCAUAAAGGAAUAUAAUAAUAAUUAUAAGGUUAACACCGGCUCUUGUCCCUUACAUAUUUCAAGCCGCCAGAACGUGCAAUACAGCACACCAUAAGUCUUCCUCAUUCCCACUUUGAAUUUAAUACCACAAAGACACUAAUAUAAUAACAUUACAUAUUGGUUAGUGUUCUUAGGAGAUUUAAUAAUUCUCAAAAUUUCUCUAGGACCUACGCUAAUAAAUUGUCCCUUUUCCAACAUACCGACAGUACACUUCAAAUUUUCAGAAAUCAAAUUAUCUAAAUUAUUAAAUAAAUACAUUGAAAGGGAGAAGCUUUGAUUACCUUACCAAUUCAUUCAAUAUUUUCCUUCGUUAUUUUCUCUAUAGCCGCCAGUUCUCUCCUUGUUUCAAUAGCAAAUAUCAGUUAUUUUUUUUCUAAAUUACUUAUGUUAUUAAAAUUAGCACUCCUUAUUAACCUAUAUUAAUAUUUCAGACUUGACCCAUUAUUAUUAAAAAUAACUAAAUUACCCCCAAAUUAAUUAAUAUAGUUAAACGACUAUUCAAAAUUAUCAAAAAAAAUAACUUUCGGGUCCGAGUCAUUACAUUAUCCACCACUAAAAAUCAUAUUCGUCCUCGAACAUAAGGUGAAAUAAAGUACCUAAAGCUUCAAAAAGCUGGGGGUAUCUCGCACGCAUGUCAGACUCUGUCUCCCAAGUUGCCUCUUCCACUGAUCGGUGCUUCCAUUGCACCUUCACUGAAGCAAUCUCUUUGGUCCUAAGCUUUCGAAUUUUCCUAUCCAAAAUAGCUAUAGGCUCCUCCUCAAAUGUCAAGUCUGGACCCAGCUCCACAGAAUCGAGUGAAAUCACAUGAGAUUCAUCCGGAAUAUACUUUCGAAGCAUAGAGACAUGGAAAACAGGAUGAACUGCCGACAAACUAGGUGGCAAGGCCAGCUUAUAGGCCACCUCUCCCACUCGGCUCAAAAUCUCAAAAGGUCCAAUGAACCUAGGGCUAAGCUUGCCCUUCUUUCCAAACCUCAUCACACCCUUCAUGGGUGAUACUCGAAGCCAAACAUGAUCACCCUCCAUAAACACCAAGGCUCUAACUCUCCGGUCUACAUAACUCUUUUGUUGACUCUGAGCUGUCAAUAAUCUAUACUGAAUCAUAUGAACUUGCUCCAUAGCAUCUCUAAGUAAGUCUGUAUCCAAAGAGUCCAUCUCUACCGAAUCAAACCAACCAAUAGGAGAUCUACACCGUCUACCAUACAAUGCCUCAAAUGGGGCCAUUUGGAUACUAGAGUGAUAACUGUUAUUAUAGGCAAACUCUGCUAAGGGUAAAUGUCGAUCCCAUCUUGCACCAAAAUCGAUCACACACGCUCGAAGCAUAUCUUCCAAAACCUGGAUGGUCCGCUCAGAUUGACCAUCUGUCUGAGGGUGAAAUGCCAUACUCAUAUCUAACUGAGUACCCAGACCAUGUUGUAAUGCCUUCCAGAAGUGAGAAGUAAAUAGUGAACCUCGAUCUGAUAUGAUAGAAAGAGGAACUCCAUGUAGUCGCACAAUCUGACUGAUAUAUAGCUCAGCUAACUUUUCUGCUGUAUACUUCACCCGAACCGGGAUAAAGUGGGCAGACUUGGUCAGCCUAUCAACAACAACCCAAAUAGAGUCAUAACCACCCACUGUGGUAGGCAAACCCACAACAAAGUCCAUAGUAAUCCGCUCCCACUUCCAAGUAGGAAUAGGCAUCCUCUGAGAUACACCCCAGGCCGCUGGUGCUCACACUUGACCUGCUGGCAAGUCAAACACCUCGAAACAAAGUCUGAAAUAUCUCUCUUUAUCCCACACCACCAAUAAUGUUGACUCAGAUCAUGAUACAUCUUCGCCGCUCCUGGAUGGAUGGAAUACCGAGAACAAUGGGCCUCUUCAAGAAUCAAUCUAAUCAAAUCGCCUAUCCUAGGCACACAAAUUCUGCCUCCGAUCCGCAAUACACCAUCAGAAUCAAGGACAGCCUCCUUAGCUUCCCCUCUCAAUACUUUGUCUCGAAUGAGACAUAAUUUUUCAUCAUCAAACUGGUGUGCACGGAUUUUCUCGACUAAAGAAGACCGAGCCUCAAUAAAAGCAAUCAUCCCAUCACUCUCUUCUGAAAUCUGCAAGCGGACAAGACUGUUAGCUAAUAUCUGCACAUCUCUAGCCAAUGGUCUCUCUACAAUACUAAGCGCUGCAAGACUCCCCAUGUUGGGAGUCUUCCUACUUAGAGAAUCGGCCACAGCAUUGGCCUUUCCUGGAUGAUACAGAAUGGUCACAUCAUAGUCUUUCAGCAACUCAAGCCAUUUUCGUUGCCUCAAGUUCAAAUCCCUCUGGCUAAAGAUAUACUGAAGACUCCGAUGAUCAGUGAAGAUCUCACAAUGCACCCCAUACAAAUAAUGACGCCAUAACUUAAGUACAAAUACCACAGCCGCCAACUCCAAAUCAUGAGUACGGUAGUUCUUCUCAUGGGAUUUCAACUGCCUAGAAGCAUAAGCUAUCACUUUCCCCUUCUGCAUCAACACACCACCCAAACCAACUCCUGAAGCAUCACAAUACACAGUAAAGUCUACACCCUCCUCAGGUAGAGUCAACAUAGGAGCAGAAGUCAACAAAGUCUUGAGCUUUUGAAAGCUCUCCUCACACUCAUCAGACCACUGAAAACCCACAUCCUGUCGAGUCAAUCUAGUCAAUGGAGCUGCAAUAGUAGAGAAACUCUGAACAAAUUGUCGAUAAUAGCCUGCCAAUCCCACAAAACUCCUAAUCUCAGUAGGUGAAGUAGGUCGCGUCCAGCCUCUAACUGCCUCAAUCUUGGCCAGAUCUACUCUAAUACCCUCCUUGGACACCACGUGUCCCAAGAAUGUCACAGAAGUAAGCCAGAACUCACACUUUGAGAACUUGGCAUACAACUUCUCUUCUCUCAACCUCUGAAGUACAAUUCUCAGGUGCGGACAUGGUCCUCCUCAGUCUUAGAGUAAACCAAGAUGUCAUCAAUGAAAACAAUCACAAAAGAAUCAAGGUAUGGUCUAAAAAACUCAUUCAUCAACUCCAUGAAUGCUGCAGGGGCAUUAGUCAAUCCGAAGGACAUCACUAGAAACUCAUAAUGCCCAUACCGGGUCUGAAAAGCUGUCUUAGGGAUAUCUGACGCCCUAAUCUUCAACGGAUGAUACCCAGACCUCAAAUCAAUCUUAGAGAACAAUGAUGCUCCCUGUAACUGAUCAAAUAAGUCAUCAAUACGCGGAAGAGGAUACUUAUUCUUAACUGUUACCUUGUUCAACUGUCUGUAAUCAAUACACAUUCUCAUAGUCCCAUCCUUCUUCUUCACAAACAAUACAGGGGCACCCCAAGGUGAUACACUAGGGCGAAUAAAACCCUUACUCAAUAAAUCUUGCAACUGAUCCUUUAAUUCUUUCAACUCUGUUGGGGCCAUACGAUAUGGAGGUAUAGAAAUAGGCUUAGUGUCUGGCUCCAAAUCAAUAGCAAAAUCGAUAUCCCUAUCGGGAGGAACACCUGGAAGAUCAGAAGGGAAUACAUCGAGAAACUCCUGAACCACGGGAACAGAGUCCAUGGAAGGUGGUUCAACACUAGUAUCCCGAAUAAAAGCUAAGUAAGACAAACACCCCCUCUCCACCAAUCUUUGAGCACGGAUAAAAGAGAUGACCUUUCUAGGAUAAGAACCACUAACACUCUUCCACUCAACCCUCGGAACACCAGGCAUUGCUAAAAUCACAGUCUUAGCAUUACAAACAAGGACAACAUGAUAACGAGAAAGCCAAUCCAUACCCAAGAUAACAUCAAAGUCCACCAUUCCCAGAAUGAUUAAGUCUACCCCAAGUGUCAUACCCAGCCAAAGAAACAAGACAGGAUCGAUACACUCGAUCCACCACUAAGGGCUUACCCACGGGUGUAGAAACACGAAUAGGUACAGUCAUGCUAUCACAUAUCAUAUCAAAUUUAGCAGCAAAAUACGUAGACACAUAAGAGAAUGCAGAACCUGGAUCAAACAACACAGACGCAGGUCGAUGGCAUACUGGGAUGAUACCUGUAAUAACAGCAUCGGAGGUCUCCGCCUCAGGUCUCCUGGGGAAAGCAUAGAAGUGGCCUCCUCGUCCACCUCCAUCCUGGGUGGUACCUCUACCCCCACUCUGUUGAGCUGCAACACCACUACUAGAAACUUUAUCACCUCUACCUGACUAAACUCUGCCACGACCUCUACCCUGUUGUGCUGGUAGUCUAGUCUGGAAUGAAGAAUUAGGUCGAGGCCUACCACGACCCCUUUGUGAAGUACACUGCCGCAUUAGAUGAUCGGGAUCUCCACAAGUAAAACAAAAUCUCUAACCUGGGAAUUGUUGUGUGGACCCUGAAAACCCACUAUAAUUUCCUCGCCCUGUAGGUCGCUGCUGUGAACCAUACGAGCUCUGACCCGAGCUAUAAGAACCCCUAGAUGUCUGGACACCCUCAAAUGUCGGCAUAGACGCAUGAAUAGGUCCCCGCUGCUGAAAAGAACCACUCACUCUCUGUUAUUCCCAUCCUCCAGAUGAGGCACCAUGAAACUGUCCUGAUAUACGGGCCCUUUUAGGGUCCCCAAACUCCUCUCUCUCCAUCAAUUCUGCCUCUUUGGCGGCGCUCACAAUGGACUGAAAAGAAGUUCCCUCCCUAGAUGUCCGAAACACAGCUGACCUGAUAGAGAAAGUCAAUCCCCUCACAACUCUGCGGAUCCUCUCUGUCUCAUUUGGAAUAAUGGCCAACGCAUGCCUAGACAACUGGCAAAAACGCGCCUCAUACUCUGUAACCGAUAAACCAUCCUGUCUCAGACUCUCAAACCUCAAGCGACUCUCCUCUCUCACGCUCCAUGGGAUAAAACGAUCUUGGAAUGCACUAGCAAACUGCUCCCAAGUCACUGGAGGAGAUCCAACUGGCAAAACCCCCGAAUAAGUCCUCCACCAGUCUCUCGCUGGUCCACGAAGCUGGAGUGUAGCAUAUCUAACCCCAUGUGACUCAGCUAAUCCAACCACCUCUAGUAACUCUCGGCAGGUAGUUAGAAACUCAUGAGCGUCCUCGCUCUUCCAACCCUGAAACUGAGGUGGGCCCAUCUUUCGAAAUCUCUCAUACCUACGCUGCUCAUUCUCUGUCAGAACAGCCAUCGACGCAACUUGACCCCCAACUGCUAGUGCAAUAUUAUUAUGAACCGCGGGAUCUACUGGUAGUUGCCCCAUCGCAUCCUGAGCAAUCGGAGCUUGUUGCUGCUCUUGGGUCUGAGCCCCCUCUCUACUACGAGAGUCAUGUAGUGUGGUAGUUGCACCACCACCCUGAGAAAAGCCCUUUAGCACACUUAACACCCUCAAUAGCGUAUCUUGAAGCAAAGGUGUGACUACGGGAUCUGGAGGAACCUGGUCCUCUCUGUCAUCAAUCUGAGGUUCGGUAGAGACCUCUCUAGCACUACCUCUCAAUGGUGUUGCUCCACGUCUAUGACCUCUGGCUACUGUCGUACUACUAGCACGACCUCUAGCUCGAGAUCUACCCCUACCCCUAGCUGGGGCCUCAACAACUGCCUCGGGAAGUGCCUCCCCUCUACCACCUGUAAAAUUAGUUCUAGUCCUCGUCAUCUGUCAAAAGAGUAUACAACAACUCACUACUAAAGAAGGUGACUACGCACGAUGAGAAAGAAUGAACAAAAAGAACUUUCAUAGUAAUCCUCGUAGCUUCUCAGAGAUAAGUACAGACGUCUCCGUACUGAUCCUUGAGACUUUACGUAGACUCGGCUUAUAUACACGUGAAACCUAUGAACCUGGGGCUCUGAUACCAUUUUUGUCACGACCGAAAAAUAGGUGUGAUGGCACUUGUGUUAUCCCACCAAGACAAGUCAGCCUAAAACCCAAUAUCUAACAAAGUGCGGAAGUAAAUGACAAUCCAACAACAAUUUCUAGUAUGAAACCAAGUCAUAUUAAUUCAAUCCCCAAAACCAGGUUGUCACGUGCACAAGCCUCUAAUGUAAACAUUAGAAUUGAAACAAAAUAGAAGUCUAACAUGAAGUUGUCUUUCAAAUAAAAACAAAAUCAUAAACUAGAGUAGGAAAGUUCGUUGAGAUGACAAGCAGCUACCUCACAAUCCACCACAAGAUGCCUCGGAAACGAAGAGAAUAGAAAGUAUCACAAAGAUCCGGGCUCGUAACCUACAAAAGUUUGUAGAAGCAAGGGGUGAGUACCAAACCACGUGGUACCCAACAAGCAAACCUCUAAACACAAGUUAAGUGAAUAAAAUACGGGUACUCCUUACACCCUAUCUAGACCUCCAUGCUACAGUCUAACAGUUUACAGUUUACCAAACACACAACUCAAUAACCACACUCUAUCAGUUUACACAUUCUCAAUAACAACUCAAUAUUCAACAGUCACAAACUUCACAGAGAAACACUCACAAGAUCAGCAAAACACAUGUUCAAGUUCAUCAAUAAUAAAAUGUGCAAUACCAUCAGAUGCGAUGUAAAGUAUAGUGAUGCAUGUCUUCCCUAACGAUACACACCCGCUGUCUCUCAGUCCGGGACCCAUGGGGGACAUACCUGUCCAUGCAUCUGUCGCGGCGCACGACACGACCCUCGAUAAUAGUAACCAUUGCGGUGCGCGAUACGUCCCUCGAAAUAUAAUAUCCAUCGCGGCGUGCGAUACGACCCUCGAAAAUAGUACAUCAUCCUCUACCACAACUAUGUCUCAGAUACCAUGCAAUGACAUGCUCAAAUGAAAAGGAGGAGAUAACCAUUUGAUAACAACGCACAAUUUACAACAAGAAAUACAACACCAACAAAUAAACAACAAGUCUCCAAAUCAUUCUCAACAUCACACAAGGAAAUACACGAAUUUCGUACGCUUAACAAGAGUUUAGAAAUCCACUUGCCUUAGUCAAUCGAAUAAUUACUCUUGGACUUGAGCCUUCCCUUUCCGUUGAGCUUCCGAACCAAUGGAAUCUAUUCAAGUAUAUAUUUACAAUAAGGUUU
rnacentral:lncRNA from 1 species